rnacentral:tRNA from 1 species
GGGGACAUAGCUCAGUUGGUAGAGUGCUUGCUCAGUAUGCACAAGGCCCUGGGUUCAAUCCCCAGCAUCAUCU